GACGUAGGGGGCAAGCGUUGUCCGGAUUUAUUGGGCGUAAAGAGCUCGUAGGCGGCUCAGAAAGUCGGGUGUGAAACCUCCAGGCUCAACCUGGAGACGCCACCUGAUACUGCUGUGGCUAGAGUCCGGUAGGGGAGCACGGAAUUCCCGGUGUAGCGGUGAAAUGCUUAGAUAUCGGGAGGAACACCAGUGGCGAAGGCGGUGCUCUGGGCCGGAACUGACGCUGAGGAGCGAAAGCGUGGGGAGCGAACAGG
rnacentral:rRNA from 1 species